AAAACGACUCUCGGCAACGGAUAUCUCGGCUCUCGCAUCGAUGAAGAACGUAGCGAACUGCGAUACUUGGUGUGAGUUGCAGAAUCCCGUGAACCAUCGAGUCUUUGAACGCAAGUUGCGCCCGAAGCCAUUAGGCCGAGGGCACGUCUGCCUGGGCGUCACGC
rnacentral:rRNA from 1 species